GACAGAGGAGGCAAGCGUUGUUCGGAAUUACUGGGCGUAAAGGGCUCGUAGGCGGCCAACUAAGUCAGACGUGAAAUCCCCAGGCUCAACCUGGGAACUGCGUCUGAUACUGGAUGGCUUGAAUUCGGGAGAGGGAUGCAGAAUUCCAGGUGUAGCGGUGAAAUGCGUAGAUAUCUGGAGGAAUACCGGUGGCGAAGGCGGCAUCCUGGACCGACAUUGACGCUGAUGAGCGAAAGCUAGGGGAGCAAACGGG
rnacentral:rRNA from 1 species